GUUGUAUGGUCAAGUAAUGAAGUGCACAUGGUGGAUGCCUUGGCAGUCAGAGGCGAUGAAAGACGUGAUAGCCUGCGAUAAGCGUCGGUGAGGUGGCAAUAUCCUGUGACCCGGCGAUUUCUGAAUGGGGAAACCCAACCAACAUAAGUUGGUUAUUACACAGUUUACUGUGUAAGGCAAACCGGGAGAAGUGAAACAUCUCAGUACCCCGAGGAAAAGACAUCAAAUGAGAUUCCGUAAGUAGCGGCGAGCGAACACGGAGGAGCCGAUCAAUUUUACAGUAGCAAAAUGGCGUGGGAAAGCCAACCAUAGUAGGUGAUAGUCCUGUAUGCGAAACUGUUUAAGCGACAUAUUAAGUAGGGCGGAACACGAGAAAUUCUGUCUGAAGAUGGGGGGACCAUCCUCCAAGGCUAAAUACUCCUGACUGACCGAUAGUGAACCAGUACCGUGAGGGAAAGGCGAAAAGAACCCCUGUUAGGGGAGUGAAAUAGAACCUGAAACCGUGUGCAUACAAGCAGUCGGAGCCCGACCACUUAAUCGUUUUGAGGAUAACAAUGAAUUUUUACUACGUCUAUGUCAUACAAAACGUGGAUAAUCAUGAUGAGUUUUAUGUUGGUUUUACCACCAAUUUAAAACAAAGAAUUGAUGACCAUAAUAAUGGCACAACUUACUCAACCAGAGCAAGAACAUGGCGUAUUGUUUAUUGUGAAGCCUACAUUAAUGAACAAGUGGCAAGAAAACGAGAGCGAACCAUAAAAAAUAAUGGUCGUAUGAGAACUUUCUUGAUGAAUCGUGUCAAAUCACAAUUUGACAAUCAGAACGAUUAAGUGGUCGGGUGACGGCGUACCUUUUGUAUAAUGGGUCAGCGACUUAUAUUCUGUAGCAAGGUUAACCGAAUAGGGGAGCCGUAGGGAAACCGAGUCUUAAUAGGGCGAUUAAGUUGCA
rnacentral:rRNA from 1 species